UACGAAGGGGGCUAGCGUUGCUCGGAAUGACUGGGCGUAAAGGGCGCGUAGGCGGAUUGUACAGUCAGGCGUGAAAUUCCUGGGCUCAACCUGGGGGCUGCGUUUGAUACGUAUGGUCUUGAGUUCGGAAGAGGGUCGUGGAAUUCCUAGUGUAGAGGUGAAAUUCGUAGAUAUUAGGAAGAACACCAGUGGCGAAGGCGGCUCACUGGUCCGGUACUGACGCUGAGGUGCGAAAGCGUGGGGAGCAAACAGG
rnacentral:rRNA from 1 species